GCAAAGAGGAUCUGAGGGCUUCACAUGGGGACUUCACUUCAGAACUCUUCCAAAUAAUUGUUUUCUUGGACGUUUCCCAGAGCUUGAGAAACAAGGAAGAAGCAACAGCAACCUAAGAUGGAUGUGGAGGAGUGAAUGUGGAACUUGAGCCCACAGUGUCCCAGAGCUGAAGAGGUCACAGCGUUCAUCUGACCUAGGCCCACCGUGUUGAUUUCUCUUCUGAUUACAAGCAGAACAACUGAAAACAGAAGGCAGAGGCGUGCAGAAGUGAUUCUAGUCACCAUCUACACAGGAAGGAAACACCAGUUCCAAACUUUUUGGAAUUUCUUGUUGAAGCUUGACAGAAUGCAGGAUGGGACCCAAGACUGAAG
rnacentral:lncRNA from 1 species